CCUACGGGAGGCAGCAGUAGGGAAUCUUCCACAAUGGGCGAAAGCCUGAAGGAGCAACCCCGCGUGGGUGAAGAAGGUCUUCGGAUCGUAAAACCCUGUUGUUAGAGAAGAAAGGGCGUGAGAGUAACUGUUCACGUUUCGACGGUAUCUAACCAGAAAGCCACGGCUAACUACGUGCCAGCAGCCGCGGUAAUACGUAGGUGGAAAGCGUUAUCCGGAUUUAUUGGGCGUAAAGGGAACGAAGGCGGUCUUUUAAGUCUGAUGUGAAAGGCUUCGGCUUAACCGGAGUAGGGCAUUGGAAACUGGGAGACUUGAGUGCAGAAGAGGAGAGUGGAACUCCAUGUGUAGCGGUGAAAUGCGUAGAUAUAUGGAAGAACACCAGUGGCGAAAGCGGCUCUCUGGUCUGUAACUGACGCUGAGGUUCGAAAGCGUGGGUAGCAAACAGGAUUAGAUACCCUUGUAGUC
rnacentral:rRNA from 1 species